GAUGAAGAACGCAGCGAAAUGCGAUAAGUAAUGUGAAUUGCAGAAUUCAGUGAAUCAUCGAAUCUUUGAACGCACCUUGCGCCCUUUGGCUAUUCCGAAGGGCAUGCCUGUUUGAGUAUCGUGAACACCUCAACUCUCAUGGUUUGCCAUGAUGAGCUUGGACUUUGGGGGUUUUGCUGGCCUUUGGUCGGCUCCUCUCAAACGGAUCAGCUUUCCAGUGUUUGGUGGCGUCACGGGUGUGAUAACUAUCUACGCCUGUGGUUUUCUGCCAGAUAACCUUCAGCGAUGGAGGUUCGCUGGGGCUCAUAAAUGUCUCUCUUCAGUGGAGACAGCUUUUUGGACGUUUGAUCUCAAAUCAGUUAGGACUACCCGCUGAACUUAAGCAUAUCAAUAAGCGGAGGA
rnacentral:misc_RNA from 1 species